UGAACCUAAGCAUAUCAAUAAGCGGAGGAAAAGAAACCAACAGGGAUUGCCUCAGUAACGGCGAGUGAAGCGGCAACAGCUCAAAUUUGAAAUCUGGCCCUCUGGGUCCGAGUUGUAAUUUGCAGAGGAUGCUUUUGGCGCGGUGCCUUCCGAGUUCCCUGGAACGGGACGCCACAGAGGGUGAGAGCCCCGUCUGGUUGGACACCAAGCCUAUGUAAAGCUCCUUCGACGAGUCGAGUAGUUUGGGAAUGCUGCUCUAAAUGGGAGGUACAUGCCUUCUAAAGCUAAAUACCGGCCAGAGACCGAUAGCGCACAAGUAGAGUGAUCGAAAGAUGAAAAGCACUUUGGAAAGAGAGUUAAAAAGCACGUGAAAUUGUUAAAAGGGAAGCGUUUAUGACCAGACGUGGGCCGGUUAAUCAUCCAGCGUUCUCGCUGGUGCACUUUGCCGGUCCAGGCCAGCAUCAGUUCGCCGCGGGGGACAAAGGCGUCGGGAAUGUGGCUCCUCGGAGUGUUAUAGCCCUUCGCGCAAUACCCUGGGGCGGACUGAGGUUCGCGCUCUGCAAGGAUGCUGGCGUAAUGGUCAUCAACGACCCGUCUUGAAACACGGACCAAGGAGUCGUCUUCGUAUGCGAGUGUUCGGGUGUAAAACCCCUACGCGUAAUGAAAGUGAACGCAGGUGAGAGCUUCGGCGCAUCAUCGACCGAUCCUGAUGUUCUCGGAUGGAUUUGAGUAAGAGCAUACGGGGCCGGACCCGAAAGAAGGUGAACUAUGCCUGUAUAGGGUGAAGCCAGAGGAAACUCUGGUGGAGGCUCGCAGCGGUUCUGACGUGCAAAUCGAUCGUCAAAUAUGGGCAUGGGGGCGAAAGACUAAUCGAACCUUCUAGUAGCUGGGUUCCGCCGA
rnacentral:rRNA from 1 species